rnacentral:rRNA from 1 species
UGAUGGAGCACGCCGCGUGAGUGAAGAAGGUUUUCGGAUCGUAAAGCUCUGUUGUUGGUGAAGAAGGAUAGAGGUAGUAACUGGCCUUUAUUUGACGGUAAUCAACCAGAAAGUCACGGCUAACUACGUGCCAGCAGCCGCGGUAAUACGUAGGUGGCAAGCGUUGUCCGGAUUUAUUGGGCGUAAAGCGAGCGCAGGCGGAAGAAUAAGUCUGAUGUGAAAGCCCUCGGCUUAACCGAGGAAUUGCAUCGGAAACUGUUUUUCUUGAGUGCAGAAGAGGAGAGUGGAACUCCAUGUGUAGCGGUGGAAUGCGUAGAUAUAUGGAAGAACACCAGUGGCGAAGGCGGCUCUCUGGUCUGCAACUGACGCUGAGGCUCGAAAGCAUGGGUAGCGAACAGGAUUAGAUACCCUGGUAGUCCAUGCCGUAAACGAUGAGUGCUAAGUGUUGGGAGGUUUCCGCCUCUCAGUGCUGCAGCUAACGCAUUAAGCACUCCGCCUGGGGAGUACGACCGCAAGGUUGAAACUCAAAGGAAUUGACGGGGGCCCGCACAAGCGGUGGAGCAUGUGGUUUAAUUCGAAGCAACGCGAAGAACCUUACCAGGUCUUGACAUCUAGUGCCAUCCUAAGAGAUUAGGAGUUCCCUUCUGGGACGCUAAGACAGGUGGUGCAUGGCUGUCGUCACCUCGUGUCGUGAGAUGUUGGGUUAAG